CAGCACCUGGAAAAGGUAUUUGUGGUAUACAUAUAAAGGGCCCUACACUCAGGCGAGCCUGACAUAAGUACGUUUAUGGCGCACAUACACUCUGCUUGAGUACACAAUGAAACUGAAUUGAAAACAGCCAUUAGAUGAAAUAAAAGUGAACAAAUUAAAAGUGAAAUACAAACGCUCACCUUACUGCUACACUGCUUCACUUCAGGGAGCUUUGGUGGAUGUUGUCAUAUGGCACAUUCUAGCAGGGUGGUGCAGAUCCAUUAACUUAGGCCUGGGUGAUAAAAUACAAAGAAGAUGCAUCAUGAGAAAUAUUUAUUCAAUAUCAUGAACAAAACUUUAAUAGAACAUUCAACAGUUUCACUGAAAUGUUUUAAGUGAGAGACAGCAUUCGGCUGCUUUGGCACCCUAUAAAGCACAAAUGAGUUCAGCCUGCCCCAAACUGAUUUGUAUUAUGUGUUUCAGACAGUGCAGAAAUGUUUGUCAGGAUCUUCUGAGUCAACUCAAACUGACAUCUUAAAGGCUGAAGGACAAAGCACAAAAACAUCAUCCUUUAUCACACAUGGAAUCUGAAAA